CCUACGGGAGGCAGCAGUUAGGAAUAUUGGUCAAUGGGCGCGAGCCUGAACCAGCCAAGUCGCGUGAGGGAAGACGGUCCUAUGGAUUGUAAACCUCUUUUGUCGGGGAGCAAAAGACGCCACGCGUGGCGUUCCGAGAGUACCCGAAGAAAAAGCAUCGGCUAACUCCGUGCCAGCAGCCGCGGUAAUACGGAGGAUGCGAGCGUUAUCCGGAUUUAUUGGGUUUAAAGGGUGCGCAGGCGGAAGAUCAAGUCAGCGGUAAAAUUGAGAGGCUCAACCUCUUCGAGCCGUUGAAACUGGUUGUGGUGAGGGGGCGAGAAGUAUGCGGGAGGGGUGGUGUAGUGGUGAAAUGUAGAGAGA
rnacentral:rRNA from 1 species